rnacentral:lncRNA from 1 species
GUCAUGUCAUCACUUCAUUUUUUUGCGCCUGCGCAUAAAUCUGAGAAACGUGAGUUUUGUCUUCAUUGUUUAUCUAGACAUAGGAUAGGUUGUGUGAAAAUAUUACUGAUGUUUAACGUUAAAAAUGGACCAAAAGAUUAAUGCUAAACAACAUUUGACAUGUUUGAACGAACAUAAAUAAAUUAUUUUCUAGUUUUUUUUAGCUUUUCGGCGUGAUUUUACAGUCCCCCCACCACGUUUUGUGGGAGCAUAAUGAACGCUAAGUACUUGGUGUUAUUUGGACAUAAAUUAUGAACUUUGUCAAAAGAAACCACAUUUGUUCCGGACCUGGGAUGCCUUCCGGACCUGGGAUGCCUGCCUUCUGAUGGAGAUAAUCAAAGGUGGAGAGAGUCUCCGCUAGGAAUUUACGACCUGAGAUAACAGAACCUGGGUGUAGGAGAGAGUGGGAAACCAUGAUCUAUACCCAGAAAGGGCCACAUCAUGACACAGGCCUCAUGCCAGUCAGAAUGGCCUCCAGUUUCUCCGUCUCCUCAUCAGUAAAGAGCCACUGCUUGUCAGAGCCAUGCUGCCUCUUCUGUGGAGGCUCCACAACCUCCUCCUCAUCAGUGUCCUCAAAGUCACACCAGGCCUUUGUCUUCUGUGUCACUGGAUGUAUGCCAGUCUCUCUUUCCAUGUCAGCCACAAUGAUGUAUAUAAACCCUGGAAUGCUGAUGCUAUGUAUUGGCCAAUGAGAGGCUUUGAAGCCUCUGGUUAUAUUUGUGCUCCACAGAAGAAGCAGUCCUCCAUAGGGAUGAAUGGAAUUCUACAGUAUUUUAUUUCAAUUCAAUGUUUCAAGGAAAAAAUUAUAUGUAUUUACGUAUUUUUUGUUGUAGUGGGGACAGUAACAUUAGAACUUUCAAAAAAUGAUAGUUCAAGGAAACGUUUAUAUAUUUUUCAUUUUUAUUCGUAUGUUUAUCUCAUAAUAUAAUUUAAAAGUAUGCAUUAAGUUGUCUGGAAAAUAAUGAACGUGGCAAAAACAAAUGUUGACAUGAAUGCAUUUCUAAAGCUAACAAAAUAUUUCUUACAAUGGAGGGGGAGUGCCGAGAUGGCGGCGCGAUCGCUUCAAAACAGCUCCCCCUGUCAGUCAUCUAGUGUAUAUAUAAAUCAUUGGUCAGGCCUCAACUCCCUUCACGGGCAGGCUAGAUGUUGCCACAUUUCCUGCUGGCAGUACUCGUAAAAGCACCAGAAAUUACUGUAUGAUGGACAUGUAUGUAUACCAGAAGUCCUGAUACUGCUCCAUGUACAACACUUGGAGACUGGGGGUGACCGCAUGCACUGAAGCAGAAUAGUGCAAGGGAAAGGUAAACAGAGGGGUUCUUACUGAGCUGGUGAAGUCAGGCUGAGGUGCACACCAGUCUACCUCUCCUGCAGCAGAGACAUCCUGAACUGGACUCGGUGGGGGGGCUGGGGCUUGGAGUGAGUGAAGGGCUGUAGGGCUGAGACCACCUCCUUAACAUCUUAAGGCAACAGGUGGGUUAAUCAUCCAGAUGGAAAUUACAUUGUCAUCAUCCACCUCCUCCUCUGUCCAGCUCCAAGGAUGGCCUACAAGGAAGAUUCUAAAUUUGGCACAUUGUAGAAAAAAGUAUGAUCUUAGAUAGCAGGGAAAAGUCUCAUGUCUAGUCUUGGGGUAGUUCCUGCCAAAACAACAACAUUAUCACCUAC